rnacentral:rRNA from 1 species
CAACGCCGCGUGGAGGAUGAAGUCCCUUGGGACGUAAACUCCUUUCGACCGGGACGAUAAUGACGGUACCGGUGGAAGAAGCCCCGGCUAACUUCGUGC